rnacentral:rRNA from 1 species
AACGAACGCUGGUGGCAGGCCUAACACCUGCAAGUCGAACGCACCGCAAGGUGAGUGGCAGACGGGUGAGUAACACGUUGGGAUCUGCCCAAUGGUACGGAAUAGCUCCGGGAAACUGGAAUUAAUAUCGUAUGAGCCCGCAAGGGGAAAGAUUUAUCGCCAUUGGAUGAACCCGCGUCGGAUUAGCUAGUUGGUGUGGUAAAGGCGCACCAAGGCGACAAUCCGUAGCUGGUCUGAGAGGAUGAUCAGCCACACUGGGACUGAGACACGGCCCAGACUCCUACGGGAGGCAGCAGUGGGGAAUAUUGGACAAUGGGCGCAAGCCUGAUCCAGCCAUGCCGCGUGAGUGAUGAAGGCCUUAGGGUUGUAAAGCUCUUUCGCCGACGAAGAUAAUGACGGUAGUCGGAGAAGAAGCCCCGGCUAACUUCGUGCCAGCCGCCGCAGUAACAC